GAGAGGGCGACGCUUCCGGCUCCCUUUAAAGUUACGAGCCAUGAAUGUUAAGAGGGAGGAGAGACGUCACAGGGAAGAGGUAUUAGAGCAGCCUUUACGUAUCUUCUACCUACCCCAUUGCUCCUCAACCUCCGCAGCUUUUAAGAGCAUUGUUGUGGUUUGGAAAAGAUGCCUAUGGAGUUUCCACCUCCUUCAAGCUACCAAAGCAAAACCUCUGAAGUUUCCAGACUACUGAUUCACUAUUGACAGGUGUUAUACAAUGAAACUUCUGCCAGUUUGAUUCUUGGGAUUGAUGAACUGAUUCUCACCUGGAUUGUAUUCCAUGGAGUAAAAACAAUAUUAACCAAGUCUGGAAAGAAACCAGCAUAUUUUCUAGCAGUGUUCAAGAAACUAUAAAACUUAAAGAGAAAUGGAAGGAACUGAAUGCCAAUUCUAACAAAGAGAGCAAAAUGGGGCACAAGAGUACCAGAGAAGUAUCAUGAUAAUGUGGAAUACAGAAAAAGUAUCUGAAGAGACUAUUGCAAAAAAUAUAUAUAGUAAUAAUGAAGGAAAACAGUUGCUUCCUUCAAUAUAGUUAAUGAAGAAAAACAGACAAGGUAGAAAUUGGGACAUCAAGAGUGGAAAGAAUACUCAACAAAGAUCUGGAGAUUGCAGAUAAACUUAAUGAAAUAUUGGCAUCUGUAUUUACCAUAAAAUGUAAAGGAUUGAUAUCUGAGUCUGUCUUGACCUUGUCAGAAGAUAUUCUUGGAAUCUUUGACUGAUUUCAGAGUAUCUCCAGCAGAGGAAGUCCUGAUGGCACUCCUCCAAGAAUUCUUAACUCAAAUAUAAAGUUGAUGACUUCUAACUAUCAAGUAAUUGUCCUUUGAUCCUUUGCAAUAAAUCUAUUUUUUUGAACAAGACACUCUCAUAGGAAAGCUUGACUCAAGAUACCCUGGAAGCAAGUAACCAGAAAAAAAGAACAAAAAACCUUGUCUUUUCUAGCAAGCUGGGAAUUCAGUUACUAUAUUAACGUGGUCAAAUGUGGUCAAAGUUCAAAUUUUAGAAAAUUAGAAAGGCAUUAAGUGUUCAGAUAAAUU